rnacentral:rRNA from 1 species
GGUGAAACCGCGAAUGGCUCAUUAAAUCAGUUAUGGUUCCUUAGAUCGUACCACUUUACUUGGAUAACUGUGGUAAUUCUAGANCUAAUACAUGCAAACNGAGUCCCGACCANAAGUGGAAGGGACGCUUUUAUUANAUCAAAAUCAAUCGGUCGGCUUGUCCGGUCCGNUUGCCUUGGUGACUCUGAAUAACUUUGGGCUGAUCGCACGGUCCUCGUACCGGCGACGCAUCUUUCAAAUGUCUGCCUUAUCAACUGUCNAUGGUAGGUUCUGCGCCUACCAUGGUUGUAACGGGUAACGGGGAAUCAGGGUUCGAUUCCGGAGAGGGAGCCUGAGAAACGGCUACCACAUCCAAGGAAGGCAGCAGGCGCGCAAAUUACCCACUCCCGGCACGGGGAGGUAGUGACGAAAAAUAACGAUACGGGACUCAUCCGAGGCCCCGUAAUCGGAAUGAGUACACUUUAAAUCCUUUAACGAGUAUCCAUUGGAGGGCAAGUCUGGUGCCAGCAGCCGCGGUAAUUCCAGCUCCAAUAGCGUAUAUUAAAGUUGUUGCGGUUAAAAAGCUCGUAGUUGGAUUUGUGUCCCACGCUGUCGGUUCAUCGCUCGUCGGUGUCUAACUGGCAUGGUUCGUGGGACGUCCUGCCGGUGGUGGCGAGUCGAAAGCGUGCGGCCGCCGUGGUUAUCCCGCGUGCGGUUCCUGCGCGCCGUAGGCGGACCCCGAUGAAAUCCUACCGCGGUGCUCUUCAUCGAGUGUCGAGGUGGGCCGGCACGUUUACUUUGAACAAAUUAGAGUGCUUAAAGCAGGCCGGCUGCGCCUGAAUACUGUGUGCAUGGAAUAAUGGAAUAGGACCUCGGUUCUAUUUUGUUGGUUUUCGGAACCCGAGGUAAUGAUUAAUAGGGACAGGCGGGGGCAUUCGUAUUGCGACGUUAGAGGUGAAUUCUUGG